GACGAACGCUGGCGGCGUGCUUAACACAUGCAAGUCGAACGGAAAGGCCCUGCUUUUGUGGGGUGCUCGAGUGGCGAACGGGUGAGUAACACGUGAGUAACCUGCCCUUGACUUUGGGAUAACUUCAGGAAACUGGGGCUAAUACCGGAUAGGAGCUCCUGCUGCAUGGUGGGGGUUGGAACGUUUCGGCGGUUGGGGAUGGACUCGCGGCUUAUCAGCUUGUUGGUGGGGUAGUGGCUUACCAAGGCUUUGACGGGUAGCCGGCCUGGGAGGGUGACCGGCCACAUUGGGACUGAGAGACGGCCCAGACUCCUACGGGAGGCAGCAGUGGGGAAUAUGGCACAAUGGGCGGAAGCCUGAUGCAGCAACGCCGCGUGCGGGAUGACGGCCUUCGGGUUGUAAACCGCUUUCGCCUGUGACGAAGCGUGAGUGACGGUAAUGGGUAAAGAAGCACCGGCUAACUACGUG
rnacentral:rRNA from 1 species